rnacentral:rRNA from 1 species
GACGUAAGGCGCGGGCGUUGUCCGGAUUUAUUGGGCGUAAAGAGCUCGUAGGUGGUUUGUCGCGUUGUUCGUGAAAACUCACGGCUCAACUGUGAGCGUGCGGGCGAUACGGGCAGACUAGAGUACUGCAGGGGAGACUGGAAUUCCUGGUGUAGCGGUGGAAUGCGCAGAUAUCAGGAGGAACACCGGUGGCGAAGGCGGGUCUCUGGGCAGUAACUGACGCUGAGGAGCGAAAGCGUGGGGAGCGAACAGG